AUUCAGUUGAUGAGUCCCAAUAUAGAACGAAACGCUUGUCCUAGAU
rfam:Schistosoma haematobium scaffold1640_15, whole genome shotgun sequence.